UUUCUGGUAGUAUAUCGGUUAGUACACGCGCCUGUCAUCCAACACCUGUAAGAGUGACCUUUCGCGCGAAAGCUGGGUUCGACUCCCAGCCAGAGAG